rnacentral:rRNA from 1 species
CGCGUAGGUGGUAGUGCAAGUCUGGGGUGGAAUCCCAGGGCUUAACCUGGAACUGCCUUGGAAACUGUAUUACUUGAGUCAGUGAGGGGAGGGUAGAAUUCCUGGUGUAGCGGUGAAAUGCGUAGAUAUCAGGAGGAAGGCCUGUGGCGAAGGCGGCCCUCUGGCGCUGAACUGACACUGAGGCGCGAAAGCGUGGGGAGCAAACAGGAUUAGAUACCCUGGUAGUCCACGCCUUAAACGGUGGGUACUAGGUGUAGGGCUCGUAAGGGUUCUGUGCCGAAGCGAAAGCAUUAAGUACCCCGCCUGGGGAGUACGGCCGCAAGGUUGAA